AGUCGAGCGGUAACGGGAAGAAGCUUGCUUCUUUGCCGACGAGCGGCGGACGGGUGAGUAAUGCUUGGGAACAUGCCUAGAGGUGGGGGACAACAGUUGGAAACGACUGCUAAUACCGCAUAAUGUCUACGGACCAAAGGGGGGGCUCUUCGGACCUCUUGCCUUUAGAUUGGCCCAAGUGAGAUUAGCUUGAUGGUGGGGUAAAGGCCUACCAUGGCGACGAUCUCUAGCUGGUUUGAGAGGAUGAUCAGCCACACUGGGACUGAGACACGGCCCAGACUCCUACGGGAGGCAGCAGUGGGGAAUAUUGCACAAUGGGGGAAACCCUGAUGCAGCCAUGCCGCGUGUGUGAAGAAGGCCUUCGGGUUGUAAAGCACUUUCAGUAAGGAGGAAAGGGUGCAGGUUAAUACCCUGUAUCUGUGACGUUACUUACAGAAGAAGCACCGGCUAACUCCGUGCCAGCAGCCGCGGUAAUACGGAGGGUGCGAGCGUUAAUCGGAAUUACUGGGCGUAAAGCGUGCGUAGGCGGAUUGUUAAGCGAGAUGUGAAAUCCCGGGGCUCAACCUCGGAACUGCAUUUCGAACUGGCAGUCUAGAGUAUUGUAGAGGGUGGUGGAAUUUCCAGUGUAGCGGUGAAAUGCGUAGAG
rnacentral:rRNA from 1 species